rnacentral:rRNA from 1 species
ACCGCCCUACGGGGGGCAGCAGUGGGGAAUAUUGGGCAAUGGGCGCAAGCCUGACCCAGCAACGCCGCGUGAAGGAAGAAGGCUUUCGGGUUGUAAACUUCUUUUCUCAGAGACGAAGCAAGUGACGGUACCUGAGGAAUAAGCCACGGCUAACUACGUGCCAGCAGCCGCGGUAAUACGUAGGUGGCAAGCGUUAUCCGGAUUUACUGGGUGUAAAGGGCGUGUAGGCGGGACUGCAAGUCAGAUGUGAAAACCACGGGCUCAACCUGUGGCCUGCAUUUAAAACUGUAGUUCUUGAGUACUGG